rnacentral:snRNA from 1 species
AUCACUACUCGGCCUUUUGGCCUAUCAAGUAUAGUAUCUGUUCUUAUCAGUUUAAAAAUGGACAAAGGACUUGAAUAAACAUUGCUCCAAAGAAGAUAUACAAAUGACCAAUA